rnacentral:rRNA from 1 species
UACAGAGGGGGCAAGCGUUGUUCGGAAUUAUUGGGCGUAAAGGGCGCGUAGGCGGCCUUGCAAGUGACGGGUGAAAUCCCUCGGCUUAACCGAGGAACUACCUGUCAGACUGCAUGGCUUGAGACCGGGAGAGGUGAGUGGAAUUCCCAGUGUAGCGGUGAAAUGCGUAGAUAUUGGGAGGAACACCAGUGGCGAAGGCGGCUCACUGGACCGGUACUGACGCUGAGGCGCGAAAGCGUGGGGAGCAAACAGG